rnacentral:snRNA from 1 species
AUACUUACCUGGCACAGGAAACACCGUGAUUACGAAGGCGGUUUUCCCAAGGCGAGGCUCACCAUUGCACUCUGGUGGCGCUGACCCUUGCCAUUAACCCAAAUGUGGUUAACUCGAGUGCGAAAUUGUUGUUAGCAGGGGACUGCGUUCGCGCUAUCCCCUU